rnacentral:rRNA from 1 species
AAAGGAAUUGACGGGGACCCGCACAAGCGGUGGAUGAUGUGGUUUAAUUCGAUGCAACGCGAAAAACCUUACCCACCUUUGACAUGUACGGAAGUUACCAGAGAUGGUUUCGUGCUCGAAAGAGAACCGUAACACAGGUGCUGCAUGGCUGUCGUCAGCUCGUGUCGUGAGAUGUUGGGUUAAGUCCCGCAACGAGCGCAACCCUUGUCAUUAGUUGCUACGUAAAGGGCACUCUAAUGAGACUGCCGGUGACAAACCGGAGGAAGGUGGGGAUGACGUCAAGUCCUCAUGGCCCUUAUAGGUGGGGCUACACACGUCAUACAAUGGCUGGUACAAAGGGUUGCCAACCCGCGAGGGGGAGCUAAUCCCAUAAAACCAGUCGUAGUCCGGAUCGCAGUCUGCAACUCGACUGCGUGAAGUCGGAAUCGCUAGUAAUCGCGG